AGAGUUUGAUCCUGGCUCAGGAUGAACGCUGGCGGUAUGCUUAACACAUGCAAGUCGAACGAAUCCCUUCGGGGAUGAGUGGCGGACGGGUGAGUAACGCGUGAGAAUUUACCAAAAGGACCGGGACAACCACUGGAAACGGUGGCUAAUACCGGAUGAGCCGAAAAGUAAAAAGGGAAACCUGCCUUUUGAAGAGCUCGCGUCUGAUUAGCUAGUUGGUGAGGUAAGAGCUCACCAAGGCAGCGAUCAGUAGCUGGUCUGAGAGGAUGACCAGCCACACUGGGACUGAGACACGGCCCAGACUCCUACGGGAGGCAGCAGUGGGGAAUUUUCCGCAAUGGGCGAAAGCCUGACGGAGCAAUACCGCGUGAGGGAAGAAGGCUCUUGGGUCGUAAACCUCUUUUAUCAGGGAAGAAAAAAAUGACGGUACCUGAAGAAUCAGCCUCGGCUAACUCCGUGCCAGCAGCCGCGGUAAUACGGAGGAGGCAAGCGUUAUCCGGAAUUAUUGGGCGUAAAGCGUCCGCAGGUGGCUUAUCAAGUCUGCUGUCAAAGAGUGGGGCUUAACCCCCAUUNAAGGCAGUGGAAACUACAUAGCUAGAGUAAGGUAGGGGUAGAGGGAAUUCCUGGUGUAGCGGUGAAAUGCGUAGAGAUCAGGAAGAACACCGGUGGCGAAAGCGCUCUGCUGGACCUUAACUGACACUGAGGGACGAAAGCUAGGGGAGCGAAUGGGAUUAGAUACCCCCGUAGUCC
rnacentral:rRNA from 1 species